GUCCUGGCCCUAAACGGUGUUCACUUGGUGUGCGGGGAGUCGACCCCCUGCGUGCCGCAGCUAACGCGAUAAGUGAACCGCCUGGGAAGUACGACCGCAAGGUUAAAACUCAAAGAAAUUGACGGGGCCCGCACAAGCGGUGGAGCAUGUGGCUUAAUUCGAUGCAACGCGAAGAACCUUACCUGGCCUUGACAUGCUGGUGGUAGAAGCCAGAAACGGCGACGACUCCUCGCAAGAGGAGAGCCAGCACAGGUGCUGCAUGGUUGUCGU
rnacentral:rRNA from 1 species